GAUAACCAAAGAUUACUGCCGGGUUCAAAGUUGGAUUACUGAUGAUACGCACGUCGCCACCACCAGGGGCCCAGGUGUCGUACACACCACCAAAGAACAUCGCUUUAAAGACAAGCAACAGCGCACCACAACCCAGGAGGAUGAGGUGAUAACCAAUGAUGUUGGUCAUUUGGUUCUUGUCUUUCCA
rnacentral:antisense_RNA from 3 species